GACGAACGCUGGCGGCGUGCUUAACACAUGCAAGUCGAACGGUGUGGCGAACGGGUGAGUAACACGUGGGUGAUCUGCCUUGCACUUCGGGAUAAGCUUGGGAAACUGGGUCUAAUACCGGAUAGUGCAAGAUGAGCUCGCGGCAUAUCAGCUUGUUGGUGGGGUCAUGGCCUACCAAGGCGUCGACGGGUAGCCGGCCUGAGAGGGGGUACGGCCACAAUGGGAAUGAGAUACAGCCCAGACGCCGACGGGAGGCAAGAGUGGGGGAUGUUGCACAAUGGGAGGAAGAAGGAGGCAGCGACGCCGGGUGGGGGAUGAGGGCCUUCGGAAUGUAAACUCCUUUCGACGGGGACGCGGUAACUGUAUAAGAAGCACCGGCUAACUACGUGCGAGCAGCCGCGGUAAAAC
rnacentral:rRNA from 1 species